UGCCAGACUCCUACGGGAGGCAGCAGUGGGGAAUAUUGCACAAUGGGGGAAACCCUGAUGCAGCGACGCCGCGUGAGCGAUGAAGUAUUUCGGUAUGUAAAGCUCUAUCAGCAGGGAAGAAGAUGACGGUACCUGACUAAGAAGCCCCGGCUAACUACGUGCCAGCAGCCGCGGUAAUACGUAGGGGGCAAGCGUUAUCCGGAUUUACUGGGUGUAAAGGGAGCGUAGACGGCGAUGCAAGCCAGAUGUGAAAGCCCGGGGCUCAACCCCGGGACUGCAUUUGGAACUGUGUGGCUGGAGUGUCGGAGAGGCAGGCGGAAUUCCUAGUGUAGCGGUGAAAUGCGUAGAUAUUAGGAGGAACACCAGUGGCGAAGGCGGCCUGCUGGACGAUGACUGACGUUGAGGCUCGAAAGCGUGGGGAGCAAACAGGAUUAGAUACCCUCGUAGG
rnacentral:rRNA from 1 species